rnacentral:rRNA from 1 species
GACGAACGCUGGCGGCGUGCCUAAUACAUGCAAGUAGAACGCUGAAGGGAGGAGCUUGCUCUUCUUGGAUGAGUUGCGAACGGGUGAGUAACGCGUAGGUAACCUGCCUUGUAGCGGGGGAUAACUAUUGGAAACGAUAGCUAAUACCGCAUAACAAUGGAUGACCCAUGUCAUUUAUUUGAAAGGGGCAAAUGCUCCACUACAAGAUGGACCUGCGUUGUAUUAGCUAGUAGGUGAGGUAACGGCUCACCUAGGCGACGAUACAUAGCCGACCUGAGAGGGUGAUCGGCCACACUGGGACUGAGACACGGCCCAGACUCCUACGGGAGGCAGCAGUAGGGAAUCUUCGGCAAUGGGGGCAACCCUGACCGAGCAACGCCGCGUGAGUGAAGAAGGUUUUCGGAUCGUAAAGCUCUGUUGUAAGUCAAGAACGAGUGUGAGAGCUGAAAGUUCACGCUGAGACGGUAGCUACCA